rnacentral:lncRNA from 1 species
AAAGCAUUAAAUAAGUUUGUUUUAAAGUAAAAGAUGUUAACUAAAUAUAUUUUUAGUCAAACAAUUCUCUGAACUCAGAAACUAAUUUUAGACACUUCCACCAAUCCAAUCUGAUUAUGAUGAUUUUAGAUUUUUUCGAUGCUUAAAAAUCAACUUCUGUCCCCUCCUCCAAAAAAAAAAAAAAAGAAGAAGCAAAUACCAAAGUAUGAAGCCGAAACAUGAUACAGUAAAAGACGAAAUAUAUCCAUCC